rnacentral:rRNA from 1 species
AGUGAACGCUGGCGGCGUGCCUAAUACAUGCAAGUCGAACGAAGUGGCGCACGGGUGAGUAAUAUAUAGUUAAUCUCCCCUACACAGAGGAACAACAGUUGGAAACGACUGCUAAUACCUCUUAGUGCAGGAUGAGACGAUAUCGUAUCAGCUAGUUGGUAAGGUAAUGGCUUACCAAGGCUAUGACGCGUAACUGGUCGGAGAGGAUGAUCAGUAACAUUGGAACUGAGACACGGUCCAAACACCUUCGGGAAGCAGCAGAAAUGUAUAUUACGCAAUGGGGGAAAGUCUAAAGCAGCAACGGCGCGUGGAGGACGACACUUUUCGGAGAGUAAAGUCCUUUUAACAGGAAAGCGGUACCUGACGAAUAAGCACCGGCUAACUCCGUGCCAGCAGCCGCGGUAAUAC